rnacentral:rRNA from 1 species
CGUCAAAUCAUCAUGCCCUUUAUGUCCUGGGCUACACACGUAAUACAAUGGCGGCACAAAGCGAGGCGAGCCUGAGAGGGUGAAGCGAAGCGCAUAAAGCCGCCCGUAGUUCGGAUUGAAGUCUGAAACCCGACUUCAUGAAGCUGGAAUCGCUAGUAAUCGCGCAUCAGCAUGGCGCGGUGAAUACGUUCCCGGGCCUU